AAUGCAAUGCUAUAACAACUUACUAUUGUAACGCAUUCAAUUGAAAUGUAUUACUGUAAACCAAGCUUGUCCAGAGUUCAUUUUAUUCCAAAAUUGCCAAAAGAAACGAUAGUGUUGUAAGGGUUUACUGUCAUGAAGCUACGGAAUUAAAGAUAUCCACACUUAGCGGGGAAUAUUCAGUUAAUAUCGAAAAAGAAAAUUUUCAUCAAUUUGACAACGCCCACUUGUCCACCAUCAAUGCAAAUGAGACCGUUCUAGUCGUCAGUUUUCCGAAAGAUAUUCCGAAGUAU
rnacentral:lncRNA from 1 species